GUCCCUGUAGCGCAAUGGAUAGCGCGUCGGACUUCUCGUCCGAAGGUCGUGGGUUCGAAUCCCACCUGGGAUG
rnacentral:tRNA from 1 species